rnacentral:tRNA from 1 species
AGACUUUAGCUUUACGCAACUUCAAACUUGCAAUUUGACAUCAUAAUUUUGACUAUAAAAUC